rnacentral:rRNA from 1 species
CUACGGAGGGUCCGAGCGUUAUCCGGAAUCAUUGGGUUUAAAGGGUCCGUAGGCGGGAAUCUAAGUCAGUGGUGAAAUCUUGCAGCUCAACUGUAAAAUUGCCAUUGAUACUGGAUUUCUUGAAUUAGUGUGAAGUGGUUAGAAUGUGUAGUGUAGCGGUGAAAUGCAUAGAUAUUACACAGAAUACCAAUUGCGAAGGCAGAUCACUAACACUAUAUUGACGCUGAGGGACGAAAGCGUGGGGAGCGAACAGGAUUAGAUACCCCGGUAGUCC